rnacentral:rRNA from 1 species
AUUGAACGCUGGUGGCAGGCCUAAUACAUGCAAGUCGAACGAGUGGCGGACGGGUGAGUAAUGUAUGGGAAACUGCCCGAUGGAGGGGGAUAACUAGUGGAAACGGUAGCUAAUACCGCUAACCAUCGGUUGGGGCCACAGGGGAUUAGCUAGUGGGUGGGGUAACGGCACACCUAGGGGACGAUCCCUAGCUGGUCUGAGAGGGUGACCGGCCACACUGGGACUGAGACACGGUCCAGACUCCUACGGGAGGCAGCAGUGGGGAAUCUUGCGCAAUGGGCGCAAGCCUGAUCCAGCCAUGCCGCGUGUGUGAAGAAGGCCUUCGGGUUGUAAAGUACUGUCAGCGGAGAGGCGUUACUCACAGAAGAAGCCCCGGCUAACUCCGUGCCAGCAGCCGCGGUAAUUC